rnacentral:misc_RNA from 1 species
AUUACUCUAUAUUUUCUUUUGGUUACCUUUCCUUCAUUCAAUGCCUUUCUAGCCGCUCCCUGGCACAACCGCCAUGAAGAUCAACCGCCUUUGCAUCAUCUUGCCAACUGACUUGGAUGAACUCACACCAUAUGACCACCCCAAGGUCCCUCCACGUCCACCUCCACCUGCCAAAGCAAAGGUGAAAAAACACCACCACCAUGGAUGCGGACGUCAAGUUCUAGCUUUCUUUGGGGAUUCACUAAGCCGAUUGUAUGACUCGAAAUGGGUUGGU